rnacentral:rRNA from 1 species
GACAGAGGUGCCGAGCGUUAGGCGGAAUUACUGGGCUUAAAGCGUGCGUAGGCGGACUUCUAAGUACCUUGUGAAAUCCCACGGCUCAACCGUGGAACUGCUUGGUAUACUGGUCGUCUUGAGCCAUCUAGGGGCUGUCGGAACAAAUGGUGGAGCGGUGAAAUGCGUAGAUAUCAUUUGGAACGCCAAAGGUGAAAACAGACAGCUGGGGAUGUGCUGACGCUGAGACGCGAAAGCCAGGGGAGCGAACGGG